rnacentral:rRNA from 1 species
UACAGAGGUCUCGAGCGUUAGGCGGAAUCACUGGGCUUAAAGCGUGUGUAGGCGGGUCGGUAAGUAACUUGUGAAAUCCCACGGCUCAACCGUGGAACUGCUGGGUAUACUGCCGAUCUUGUGCAACCUAGGGGCGAGCGGAACAGAUGGUGGAGCGGUGAAAUGCGUAGAUAUCAUCUGGAACGCCAAUAGUGAAAACAGCUCGCUGGGGGUUUGCAGACGCUGAGACACGAAAGCCAGGGGAGCGAACGGG